rnacentral:rRNA from 1 species
CGAACGCUGGCGGCGUGCCUAAUACAUGCAAAUAGAACGCACAGUUUAUACCGUAGCUUGCUACACCAUAGACUGUGAGUUGCGAACGGGUGAGUAACGCGUAGGUAACCUGCCUGGUAGCGGGGGAUAACUAUUGGAAACGAUAGCUAAUACCGCAUAAUAUUAAUUAUUGCAUGAUAAUUAAUUGAAAGGUGCAAUUGCACCACUACCAGAUGGACCUGCGUUGUAUUAGCUAGUAGGUGAGGUAACGGCUCACCUAGGCGACGAUACAUAGCCGACCUGAGAGGGUGAUCGGCCACACUGGGACUGAGACACGGCCCAGACUCCUACGGGAGGCAGCAGUAGGGAAUCUUCGGCAAUGGACGAAAGUCUGACCGAGCAACGCCGCGUGAGUGAAGAAGGUUUUCGGAUCGUAAAGCUCUGUUGUAAGAGAAGAACGGGUGUGAGAGUGGAAAGUUCACACUGUGACGGUAUCUUACCAGAAAGGGACGGCUAACUACGUG